AGAGUUUGAUUCUGGCUCAGGAUGAACGCUGGCGGCGUGCUUAACACAUGCAAGUCGAACGAAGCACCUUGAUUUGAUUCUUCGGAUGAAGAUCUUGGUGACUGAGUGGCGGACGGGUGAGUAACGCGUGGGUAACCUGCCUCAUACAGGGGGAUAACAGUUAGAAAUGACUGCUAAUACCGCAUAAGACCACAGCACCGCAUGGUGCAGGGGUAAAAACUCCGGUGGUAUGAGAUGGACCCGCGUCUGAUUAGGUAGUUGGUGGGGUAACGGCCUACCAAGCCGACGAUCAGUAGCCGACCUGAGAGGGUGACCGGCCACAUUGGGACUGAGACACGGCCCAAACUCCUACGGGAGGCAGCAGUGGGGAAUAUUGCACAAUGGGGGAAACCCUGAUGCAGCGACGCCGCGUGAGCGAUGAAGUAUUUCGGUAUGUAAAGCUCUAUCAGCAGGGAAGAAAAUGACGGUACCUGACUAAGAAGCACCGGCUAAAUACGUGCCAGCAGCCGCGGUAAUACGUAUGGUGCAAGCGUUAUCCGGAUUUACUGGGUGUAAAGGGAGCGUAGACGGAGUGGCAAGUCUGAUGUGAAAACCCGGGGCUCAACCCCGGGACUGCAUUGGAAACUGUCAAUCUAGAGUACCGGAGAGGUAAGCGGAAUUCCUAGUGUAGCGGGGAAAUGCGUAGAUAUUAGGAGGAACACCAGUGGCGAAGGCGGCUUACUGGACGGUAACUGACGUUGAGGCUCGAAAGCGUGGGGAGCAAACAGGAUUAGAUACCCUGGUAGUCCACGCCGUAAACGAUGACUACUAGGUGUCGGGCAGCAAAGCUGUGCAGUCCCGCAGCAAACGCAAUAUAUAGUCCGCCUGGGGGAGUGCGUUUCGCACAGUAUGAAUCUCAAAGGAAUUGACGGGGGACCCGCACAAGCGGUGGAGCACGUGGUUUAAUUUGAAGCAACGCGAAGAACCUUUACCUGCUCUUGACAUCUCCCUCACCGGCAAGUAAUGUUGCCUUUCCUUCGGGACAGGGAUGACAGGUGGUGCAUGGUUGUCGUCAGCUCGUGUCGUGAGAUGUUGGGUUAAGUCCCGCAACGAGCGCAACCCCUAUUGUUAGUUGCCAUCAUUGAGUUGGGCACUCUAGCGAGACUGCCGGUAAUAAACCGGAGGAAGGUGGGGAUGACGUCAAAUCAUCAUGCCCCUUAUGACCUGGGCUACACACGUGCUACAAUGGCUGGUACAACGAGUCGCAAGUCGGUGACGGCAAGCUAAUCUCUUAAAGCCAGUCUCAGUUCGGAUUGUAGGCUGCAACUCGCCUACAUGAAGUCGGAAUCGCUAGUAAUCGCGGAUCAGCACGCCGCGGUGAAUACGUUCCCGGGCCUUGUACACACCGCCCGUCA
rnacentral:rRNA from 1 species